GACGAACGCUGGCGGCGUGCUUAACACAUGCAAGUCGAACGGAAAGGCCCUGCUUUUGUGGGGUGCUCGAGUGGCGAACGGGUGAGUAACACGUGAGUAACCUGCCCUUGACUUUGGGAUAACUUCAGGAAACUGGGGCUAAUACCGGAUAGGAGCUCCUGUUGCAUGGUGGGGGUUGGAAAGUUUCGGCGGUUGGGGAUGGACUCGCGGCUUAUCAGCUUGUAGGUGGGGUAGUGGCUUACCAAGGCUUUGACGGGUAGCCGGCCUGAGAGGGUGACCGGCCACAUUGGGACUGAGAUACGGCCCAGACUCCUACGGGAGGCAGCAGUGGGGAAUAUUGCACAAUGGGCGGAAGCCUGAUGCAGCAACGCCGCGUGCGGGAUGACGGCCUUCGGGUUGUAAACCGCUUUCGCCUGUGACGAAGCGUGAGUGACGGUAAUGGGUAAAGAAGCACCGGCUAACUACGUG
rnacentral:rRNA from 1 species